GAUGAACGCUGGCGGCGUGCCUAAUACAUGCAAGUCGAACGAGGUGCUUGAGUAGCAAUACGAGAGUAUCCUAGUGGCGAACGGGUGAGUAACGCGUUGGUGACCUACCCCAAAGUGUGGGAUAACAGUUCGAAAGGACUGCUAAUACCGCAUGUGGUUAUUGGAUUUAGAAACUGAUAACUAAAGGAGCAAUUCGCUUUGGGAGGGACCUGCGUCCCAUCAGCUAGUUGGUGAGGUAAUGGCUCACCAAGGCUACGACGGGUAGGGGACCUGAGAGGGUGACCCCCCACAAUGGAACUGAAACACGGUCCAUACACCUACGGGUGGCAGCAGUAGGGAAUAUUGCACAAUGGGCGAAAGCCUGAUGCAGCAACGCCGCGUGUGCGAUGAAGGCCUUCGGGUCGUAAAGCACUUUCCUGAGGGAUGAGCAAGGACAGUACCUCAGGAAUAAGUCUCGGCUAACUACGUGCCAGCCGCCGCGGUAAGAC
rnacentral:rRNA from 1 species